rnacentral:rRNA from 1 species
UACGUAGGGACCAAGCGUUGUUCGGAUUUACUGGGCGUAAAGGGCGCGUAGGCGGCGCGGUAAGUCACUUGUGAAAUCUCUGAGCUUAACUCAGAACGGCCAAGUGAUACUGCAGUGCUAGAGUGUGGAAGGGGCAAUCGGGAAUUCUUGGUGUAGCGGUGAAAUGCGCAGAUAUCAGGAGGAACACCGGUGGCGAAGGCGGGUCUCUGGGCAACACUGACGCUGGAGGAGCGAAAGCGUGGGGAGCGAACAG